rnacentral:tRNA from 1 species
GUCGGUUUAGCUUAGUGGUAGAGUGUCAGUCUUGUAAAUUGAAGGUCGGCGGUUCGACCUCGUCAUCCAGCU